GAUGAACGCUAGCGGCAGGCCUAACACAUGCAAGUCGAGGGAGAAGCCCUUUCGGGGGCCGAAACCGGCGCACGGGUGCGUAACGCGUAUGCAACCUACCUUUCACAGGGGGAUAGCCCGAAGAAAUUUGGAUUAAUACCCCAUAAUAUUAUUGGAUGGCAUCAUUUGAUAAUUAAAACUGCGGUGGUGAAAGAUGGGCAUGCGUCCUAUUAGUUAGUUGGAGUGGUAACGGCACCCCAAGGCUACGAUAGGUAGGGGUCCUGAGAGGGAGAUCCCCCACACUGGUACUGAGACAGGGACCAGACUCCUACGGGAGGCAGCAGUGAGGAAUAUUGGUCAAUGGUCGGAAGACUGAACCAGCCAUGCCGCGUGCAGGAAGAAUGCCUUAUGGGUUGUAAACUGCUUUUAUAUGGGAAGAAUAAGGCGUACGUGUACGUUGAUGACGGUACCAUAUGAAUAAGCAUCGGCUAACUCCGUG
rnacentral:rRNA from 1 species